GCCAGAUGGGAGUUAUGUCAAAUUCCUGUGAAGGAGUAUCUGAUUUUGAUGCGUAUUCAUAACAAAAAUAAAUUUGUAGAGCUGUGUUGAAAGAGCCGGUUCUUGCUGGGGUGGUGAGUCGAGCCCGAGCAGUCAAGAAGGGGGAGAAUUUCAAAAAGACAUCCAAGUCAUGGUCAUGUAGAGCUGGAGGAGAGUCGUUUGGUGCUGAAACAGGAGCCCACGCCCACGCAGCUGUUCCCCAAACUGCAAGUCUGGCUGGAGCUGCAUCUCUGUCAUCUGGCCCCGGUGCCUCUGCCACAGGCUCAAGUGUGUCUCCACCUCUGAGCCAGAAGUUGUCCAAAAUUUCACAACAAGCAAUGACGUUCGCUGGAAAAAAGCAGGGUGCACUUCCAGAGAAAAAUAUUGAGCCGCUACCUUCUUGAUUGCAGAAUGGGCCUCUGGAUGCUUUCUGUUAAACCUCGCUGCAACUGGACUUCCCACUGGUGCAGAGUGUCACACCAUCUGCUUGAAUACAGUAGCUUUCAGGAGGGUACAGUCUUUAAACAUACAGAGGGCUAUAAUUAAGACCUCUGGCAUCAUGGACUCAGCCUGGAUAUCCCAUAAGAAUGUUCAGAAACUGACUGGUGGUCACACACUGCUUGCAUCUGAAACUGUGGGUCUGGAUGGGUGGAGGUCGGAGGUCACUUUGCCCAUAAAAGUGUGAGGCCAAGACAGCAACUAAAAAAUAACUGGAUGAUUGUGAGACCAAACACAGAAAGAUACAUAUUCAGUAGCAUUUCAGACUCUAAAAGUUGUUUUAGACUAUUAUUAAAAAGUAUUUUUGAUUGAGUGUAGUUUGACAGGCACAUACUGCCACAAAGUACUUUGUAUUUAAUAAUUUUGAAAAUAUGCACUGUUUAUGUAAUAUAAUAUAAUUUCUAAUAUCAUGUAUUCAUCACAAAAAUGCGUGUUGGUGUUUAAUAUGGAUGGUCCACCAGCCGACACUGAUGUAGCAUGUUUUAAUUGUGCCAUAACAAUGAUGAGCUCAGUGUGGUCGUCUGGAUAUUGACUGGGGAGAAGUGAAUGAGUGAGUGCUUUUGGACACAGACCUUGUCUUGUUUUCUAAAAACAGAGUGAAAGAAAAAACAAUCUCAGAGUUACCAAAUCGAACAAAUCUAAAACUUUCACAAUUCUGUCUACGUGUGCUGGCAUUUAGGUCGUUAAGUUCUAAUUGCUAGGGGCUGUUUUUCAUUAAUUUAUUGAAGCUGUACUUUUUCAGGCAUGUAUCAAAGUGAAAUAAGAGGCAACUUCUCUGAAAACUACAAAUGAAAGUCGUUCUUU